UACGUAGGGGACCAAGCGUUGUUCGGAUUUACUGGGCGUAAAGGGCGCGUAGGCGGCUUAACAAGUCACUUGUGGAAAUCUCCCGGGCUUAACUCGGAACGGCCAAGUGAAACUGUCAAGCUAGAGUGCAGAAGGGGCAAGUCGGAAGUUCUUGGAUGUAGCGGUGAAAUGACGUAGAUAUCAAGAGGAACACCUGAGGUGAAGACGGGUUGCUGGGCUGACACUGACGCUGAGGCGACGAAAGCGUGGGUAGCAAACACGG
rnacentral:rRNA from 1 species